rnacentral:tRNA from 1 species
GUUGUGGCUCAGUGGUAGAGCACUCGCCUAGCAUGUGUGAGGCUCUGGGUUCGAUCCCAGAUACCACA